UAAUUUAGUUUAGUGAAGUUUAUUAAAUUAUACGAAAGUGCCUUAUUUUUUAAAGUAUUUCAAUGUAUCAUUACAAAUAAAUACGCCGUAUUUUGGUGAGACUUUUGAGGGAACAGGACAAGCUGAAGCUGUCCCCUAAGAAAGCGAGCCAACAAUACGAAAUAUUGUAAAUAAAGAA
rnacentral:ncRNA from 1 species